CUGGAGAUCACCCCUCUUGGUGUUUUCUGGUGAGCUUAGCUGAAGGGUGGUGAAUGCACUGUGCAGCUCACUCAUGAGGCCAGAUGGAAACCACAUGUGUUUUGCUCCCAAGCAGAACACAUUCCUCCCUUUGGGUUUCAUUAAAAGCAAAACCCCCAAUGCAAAGCUCAUCUCCUUCAAAGCCUUCUCCCCAUGGAUGGCCACAGAUGGUGUCUGACAAUGAACAACAGCUUUCCUCCAUCCAUAUUACCUGUGUGAAUCCCUGAAGGUGACUGGGAAAAUCAGGAGCUGCUGCCAGCAGGCACUUCCCAUGCAUAAUAAAGCACUGGAGACUUUUUUCUGUAAGCAUCAUCACAGAGUCCUCAGCACUGCUUGUGUGCAGCGGGCAGGAAAGCUGGCAGCUCGGAGGCUCUGGAAAUGUUUGUCUUGAUUAUCAAUGUGGGCAGACACAUGGGGCUUUUAGCAAUAGGAUGCUACCUGUCACAUGGAUCAACUUAAGGCAAAUAAAGACGUACGAAGAUAAGAGUUAAAAGCUCUUCCCUUCUUACGUGCUUCCUUGGAAUGUCUGCCUGCUCGCACUGCAAUUAGAGCCACACUAGUUGGCCUUGGGAUGUGAUUUUUCCAUUUGGGCUGUCAGUGUCCUGGUUAUUCUCUGUGGCCCCUGCUCGCUCUGGUGUCACUCCAUGGAAGAUGACAGUGGCACCUUGUCCAGCUGGCACGCAGGGCUGGGAGCACAUCCACUGCCAGCUCACACAGAGGUGUCACUGCUCACACAGAAAAAUGAAUGAACUCAUGAGGAAAAUUAGCAAUUACCCCAUGAUGUCUUCCUUAUGUCUCUGCUUCAGAAUUCUCUCCGUGUGACACAUGGCUUGCUAGGUUCAUCAGGAAUAAGAGGCUGUCGUAGUGCUCCAACCAGCCACUGCAGCAACUCAAACACACAGGGGCACCAGCUCUGUGAAAAUCCUGCCUGGACCCCAGAGAAAGCAGCAGUGGACACAACAGCCUCAGGUUCGUACAACUCCCCAAGAGCUGGAUUUGUUUCUUACCUGACAACUCCAUUUAUUAAAGUCUCUUUUCGGGGAAGGCUGCAGCAGGUUGCUCUGUGAUGAGCAUGAGCUAAAGGACAGGUCUGCAGUGACUGCAGUACAGUAUAUGCAGGAGUUUCGUCGUGGUGUGAAAGCCUACGGCAUUCAAGCUAUGCUGCUGCAGCCCAAAAGAAACGUAUUGGAGGAAAAUCUCAUGAGAGGAAACCCCCAGGCAAAAUGACAGCAGGACUGGGUAGCCCAGCGAAAGAGCUGCAUGCAUUCAUUUGGUUAUCAGUAUCUUUACUGUGGCCUAUAUAAGGAGUACUUUCCUGAAAACCUUGAUAUAAUGAUUGAUAAAUGUAAGAGCUUCAUGUAAUUCUUUGUUUUAUCAGAGAAAUCAACCAGGACUGAUUCCAGCCAAAGCUUCUCCUGUCAAGGGCAGUCCAAUCCUUGAGAACCUCCCAAUCGUCAUUGCACUGAGCAAUAAUCACAUUUAUGAAGGUCUUUUUCCAUGGCUAGACUAGAAAUACUCAAAAGCCUAUAAGAUACAGAUAGUCCAGACCACAGAAAUGAACUCUUCUGGGAGCUUAGGGAGGUUUGCAUGUAGGAUCAGCAGAUGAUCCUAAGACAGGGUCAAAUGGAAACAUGGUUUCGUAUUUUGCAGACAUUUAAGGAACCUGAGUCCAUAAUUUUUAUUUGGAUUUCUUCCAAGUAUUUACUGGAACAAGAAAACCUUUAGAGAUUCUUCCAUCACUAAUAGGUUUUCAACUGAAUUGACAUGAACUCAAGGAGCAAAGAUACUGUAUUCAUAAAAUUUAAUAGCCCUUGUAAUUAAAAAUACAGAAAAUAUGCUUUUUUUUUUAAAAGAAAAGAGGAUAAGAUCGCCCCUAUAAAUAAAGGUGUUGCUCUAAAUCGUUAGCCUGAAUCAAGGGCUGAUGCCCAGCCGUUCAGCUGCACUGCCUUUAGUGCACUCACUUAACACUCUGCCCUCAGGUGCCCCACAGAGCAGCUGCAGAACCUCAGUAAUGGCCAGAGAGAUGCAGACUAAAGCCAGCUCCAUCCUCUGCAGCCAGCAGCCCUCAGGGCAUCGCUGUCAGCCUGCAUUUCUGAAGCAUGCUUUAAUGAAUUUAGUAUUUAGCAUUUAGUGCAGCCACUUGACACCCAGACUUUCAUAUCCCCAGCUAACAGGGAAGGAGCUCAGGACAUCUAUGCUACGACUGUACUGCUCCGCCUACCACAUAAAUUUUGUGAGAAGGGAAUUUUUAUCUAGUAAAUGUUGUCAUUACAGCUUAUUAUUAUCAUCCAUCAAUAUCUUUCCUCCAUAAAUAACCUUCACAAACUUCUCCCUUCCAUUCUUCAGAGCCUGAGAAGUUAUGCAACUUCUGUGAGCCUCUGAUAGGUAAUUAUACAGUGCCUUCAUAUUUAUUGCAAUAGGAAAGAAACAAUCAGAUCUGUCGUUCUUGAGGCUUUUGUGCAGAAUGUAGCUCCAGAGAGAGCCAAUUCCUUAAAGCUGCUGUAGUGUGGAGCAGCUGUGCCAUUCCCUUCAGUGCUGAUCAUGGAGCUCCCAUCUCUCUUUGCAGAGGGGUGGAGGUAGAACCUUGGUACCAAGGCAUACCCACCUGAAUGAAUGUAUUUGUGUCUCUUUCCAGCAGCCCCAUCUCCACAGUGGAUAGAAAGG